rnacentral:rRNA from 1 species
AGCGAGACUGUGAAGUGGAGCAAAUCUCAAAAAAUUAGUCUCAGUUCGGAUUGCAGGCUGCAACUCGCCUGCAUGAAGUCGGAAUUGCUAGUAAUCGCGGAUCAGCAUGCCGCGGUGAAUACGUUCUCGGGCCUUGUACACACCGCCCGUCACACCAUGGGAGUCGGGGGUACCUGAAGUGCGUAACCGCGAGGAGCGCCCUAGGGUAAAACUGGUGACUGGGGCUAAGUCGUAACAAGGUAUC